GACGAACGCUGGCGGCGUGCUUAACACAUGCAAGUCGAACGAAAAUGCCCAGCUUGUUGGGUGGGCUAGUGUGGCGAAGGGGUGUAACACACGUGUAUCCUCUGCUCUUGACUGUGGGAUGACUUCAGGAAACUGUGGCUUAUACGGGAUAGGCACCUCUGCUGCGUAGUGGGGGUGGGAAAGUUUCGGUGGUUUGGGAUGGACUCGCGGCUUAUCAGCUUGUUGGUGGGGUAUUGGCUUACCAAGGCUUUGACGGGUAGCCGGCCUGAGAGGGUGACCGGCCACACUGGGACUGAGACACGGCCCAGACUCCUACGGGAGGCAGCAGUGGGGAAUAUUGCACAAUGGGCGGAAGCCUGAUGCAGCAACGCCGCGUGCGGGAUGACGGCCUUCGGGUUGUAAACCUCUUUCGGCUGGGACGAAGCGUGAGUGACGGUAACGGGUAAAGAAGCGCCGGCUAACUACGUG
rnacentral:rRNA from 1 species